AUACGGAGGGUGCAAGCGUUACUCGGAAUCACUGGGCGUAAAGCGCGCGCAGGCGGCUUGAUAAGUUGGAUGUGAAAGCCUACGGCUCAACCGUAGAACUGCAUCCAAAACUGUCAGGCUAGAGUGUGGGAGAGGAAGAUGGAAUUAGUUGUGUAGGGGUAAAAUCCGUAGAGAUAACUAGGAAUACCAAAAGUGAAGGCCAUCUUCUGGAACACUACUGACGCUGAGGCGCGAAGGCGUGGGGAGCAAACAGGAUUAGAUACCCUAGUAGUCC
rnacentral:rRNA from 1 species